rnacentral:pre_miRNA from 1 species
CAAGGCAACCAGGUGCCCCUAAUUGCCAGGGAGUGGGCAUGAGCUUGUGUCUCAGGCCUCACCUUUUAUUGGCCCCUUGGUCCUGCUCAUGCAGUGGGGCCCUGCCCUAAUUGGGCACAGGUGGGUUUAACACAAGCUCAUGCCCACUCCCUGGCAAUUAGGGGCACCUGGUUGCCUUGUUACACU